UACGGGGGGAGCAAGCGUUGUUCGGAUUUACUGGGCGUAAAGGGCGCGUAGGCGGUCGUGACAAGUCACUUGUGAAAUCUCCGGGCUUAACUCGGAACGGUCAAGUGAUACUGUCGGACUAGAGUACAGAAGGGGCAACUGGAAUUCUCGGUGUAGCGGUGAAAUGCGUAGAUAUCAGGAGGAACACCGAUGGCGAAGGCAGCUCGCUGGGACGGUACUGACGCUGAGACGCGAAAGCGUGGGGAGCAAACAGG
rnacentral:rRNA from 1 species